rnacentral:lncRNA from 1 species
UUGUUACUCUGAAUUAAUCUUUCGGUUAGAUGAAGGAGAGGGGAGCAAGUACCAGAGAUCGCUGUCGAUGAAUGCGACUCCAGGGACUCCAGUGACACCUGUGACACCUACGACACCAACGACACCGGUGUCAGCUCGUAGGGAGAACGUAUGGAGGAGCGUGUUCCAUCCAGGUAGCAACCUUGCUACCAAAAGUAUUGGUGCCGAGGUUUUCGACAAGCCACAGCCUAACUCUCCUACUGUCUAUGACUGGUAUGCACGUACAGUUUUUUUUUUUAUUGUUUCACAAACUUGCGUGCAUGGAUAUGUCUGGCUCGUCAUAACAUGAUCUAGUUUUUUAGACACUUGGUUUUGCUUUUUAGGCUGGUGAUCCACCCUAACCCAUCUAUUUGGUUGCUGAGAAAAUGAAACAAAAUUAAUAAUAGCAAGGGUGACAUCAACCGGAUGUUGGUUCUUAAUUUUUGAAUAUAUAGUAUAAGAAUUUUUAAAACAGAUUCCUCAAAAAUUUUUCUAUCUUUGUUUUUUUUCCAACAUUUUCUCAGCAACCAAACGGAGACUCAGAGACAGAGCAGGAAGGAAAACUUGGCUAUCUGUUUGGUAGCUGCGUGGAAAUAAUUCUUUUGAUCAGUAAUACACUCUUACACUCAUUUGGUAUAACACUAUGCUGUAACAUUACACUAAUUUAUUUAUAAGCUUCUUUGUUUCUUCUUAAUUUACUAAUAAUCAAGAUUAGGGUAAGUUGCUUGGAUCUAAAUUCUGGGUAUCAACUUAUAAAAUUGUAUUAAGAUGAAAUUUGGUUUGGAUGGGAUGUGGUGACAGGCUUUACAGCGGGGAGACCAGGAGCAAGCAUCAUCGCUGAUUGGGUUGUGACCGAGAGGCGGCUAGCAACCUUGCAGAAGGUUGCUCCGGUGAACCACAUGUUGCAUGUAAAUAGCGUCUUUGCAAUUGUCAAUGUCCCAUGUGUCUUUGUUUUGAGAUAUCUCAAGUAG